rnacentral:rRNA from 1 species
AGAGUUUGAUCAUGGCUCAGGAUGAACGCUAGCUACAGGCUUAACACAUGCAAGUCGAGGGGAAACGACAUCGAAAGCUUGCUUUUGAUGGGCGUCGACCGGCGCACGGGUGAGUAACGCGUAUCCAACCUGCCCACCACUUGGGGAUAACCUUGCGAAAGUAAGACUAAUACCCAAUGAUAUCUCUAGAAGACAUCUGAAAGAGAUUAAAGAUUUAUCGGUGAUGGAUGGGGAUGCGUCUGAUUAGCUUGUUGGCGGGGUAACGGCCACCAAGGCUACGGAUCAGUAGGGGUUCUGAGAGGAAGGUCCCCCACAUUGGAACUGAGACACGGUCCAAACUCCGUACCGGGAGGCA